rfam:Psychromonas sp. CNPT3, complete genome.
GGAGGGGUGGCAGAGCGGCUGAAUGCACUGGUCUUGAAAACCAGCGAGGGUUUAUAGCUCUCCGUCGGUUCAAAUCCGACCUCCUCCG